rnacentral:misc_RNA from 1 species
UGGCAGCUACAAUUUUUAAAACCUAUUAUUUAACGGGUGUAACGGUCACAGCAGCCCAAAAAAGGCCAUUUUUUGAAACCAUGGUUGUAAUGCUCAUUGAAGGAUGCAGCGCUCCACAUUUUUCUUAAAAGAGUUUUCUUGCAGUACAUUAAAAUGUUAGCAUACCAUAAAAUUUUGGAAAGGAAGAGCCUUUUAGCUUAACUUGAUUCCUUUAUGUAGUUAACACGAUUAGAUUUGGUCCCUAAGCACAUUAAUCAAAGAUAUCAUUGAUCUGAUCCUGCAAGGAACUGCUGGAGAAGUGCAUGGAAAAUGCUGGCAUGCUCUUGUUUGUUAACUAUUUUCAAUGAAAGUUAGUAUUCUUCCUAUCCACUGAGGAUGUAAAUUUUUUUUUCUUAAUCAGAUUAUGAACUUACUAUCAUUUUGACUAUAUUUUUGUCAGCAAGUGUAUGGGCAUUGUAUUAGGUAACACUUUGCCAGUUCAUAUCUAGUGAUUUUACUCGAGUUUAUUUUCUGAGCUGGUUGAGGUUCUUAAGAUUGUAUCAUGAAAUGGAUAUAUCUUCGUUGCACUCACCGAUAAAUGCUUUGAGCUUUCUUUAUGAAUUCAUCAACUCAAUUGUGUGCUGUUUUAAGGUGGAAAUUUUUUGCAAUAUUUAGUCGGUGUGGAAUAUCUCUAUCAAAAGUAUAGUUUGUGUAUCUAUUGUGUAAUUUUUCUUGUUUGAUGUUAUGCAUAAGAAUUCUUGGUGCAGCAUCUCUUACAUGCUUUUAAUAUUUUUGGUAGGCUGUAAGGAUUGAGCACUGUG